CACGUAGGGGGCGAGCGUUGUCCGGAUUUAUUGGGCGUAAAGAGCUCGUAGGCGGCUCGGUAAGUCGGGUGUGAAAUUUCGAGGCUCAACCUCGAAACGCCACCCGAUACUGCUGUGGGCUAGAGUCCGGUAGGGGAGCGUGGAAUUCCUGGUGUAGCGGUGAAAUGCGCAGAUAUCAGGAGGAACACCAGCGGCGAAGGCGGCGCUCUGGGCCGGUACUGACGCUGAGGAGCGAAAGCGUGGGGAUCAAACAGG
rnacentral:rRNA from 1 species